rnacentral:rRNA from 1 species
GACAGAGGGUGCAAACGUUGUUCGGAAUUACUGGGCGUAAAGCGCACGUAGGCGGAUUUGUUAGUCAGGGGUGAAAUCCCGAGGCUCAACCUCGGAACUGCCUUUGAUACUGCAAAUCUCGAGUCCGGAAGAGGUGAGUGGAAUUCCUAGUGUAGAGGUGAAAUUCGUAGAUAUUAGGAAGAACACCAGUGGCGAAGGCGGCUCACUGGUCCGGUACUGACGCUGAGGUGCGAAAGCGUGGGGAGCAAACAGG